GCACUUGUUCAAAACAAUAUAUAUAUUUUUUUUGAGAGAUAGGUAGCACGCUAUCAGUUUCGUUUAUUUCAUUUAGAAAUAAACUUUGCUGGAAAUAUGAAUAAAUUAGGAUUCAAACUUGAGAUCUCGGGUACCAACCAUUAAGCUCUUUGCCACUUGCUAUAGGGACGGUCGGUAAAAUAAUAUUAUUCUAUAUGAAAAAACUUUAUAUUUGGAGUAUUUGA
rnacentral:lncRNA from 1 species